AGGACGAACGCUGGCGGCGCGCUUAACACAUGCAAGUCGAACGUGAAGCCCGGGCUUGCCCGGGUGGAAAGUGGCGAACGGGUGCGUAACACGUGAGGAACGUGCCCCGAAGACCGGGAUAACUCGAGGAAACUCGUGCUAAUACCGGAUGUCCUCACCGGAUCGCAUGGUCUGGUGAGGAAAUGGAUUCCGCUUCGGGAUCGCCUCGCGGCCUAUCAGCUUGUUGGUGGGUAACGCCCACAAGGCAACGACGGGUAGCUGGUCUGAGAGGAUGUCCAGCCACACUGGGACUGAGACACGGCCCAGACUCCUACGGGAGGCAGCAGUGGGAAUCUUGCACAAUGGGCGAAAGCCUGAUGCAGCGACGCCGCGUGCGGAUGAACGGCCCUCGGGUCGUAAACCGCUUUCAGCGAGGACGAUAGUGACGUACCUGACAGAACGAACGCCCCGGACCAACGUACGUGCCAGCGACG
rnacentral:rRNA from 1 species